rnacentral:tRNA from 1 species
GGAGUUGUGCCUGAAACAAAGGGCCACUUUGAUGUAGUGAACCAUAGGGGUUAAAGUCCCCUCAACUCCU